GGGCCCGUAGCUUAGCAUGGUUAUAGCGCCCGGCUGAUAUUCUUACCAGAGACCGGGAGGUCGAGGGUUCAAAUCCCUCCGGGCCCA
rnacentral:tRNA from 1 species